UUAUUUAAUAAUAUUUUUAUUUUGGAAAGUUUAUAAGAGUGAUGAUCGUUAAAUAUUACAAAUUUAUUUAUACGAAAUGCUGGAAUCAAUUUUACUCUUUUCCCAUUUUCCUCUUUUUUUGAAUAUAAUUGUUGGAGAAAACGAUUACAGGUAAAAUCGAAGCAUUAAAAUUCUACAGAUUUUUCCAUUAGAUCCAUGGAAAAUGAUUUUCAAUUAUUCGAACUUGUUCGUUUGAAUUUUUAGCUUAAUGAUGAUUCACCACAAAAUCUGAUGUAAUCUUUUGAUGAAUCUAUGAAAUUUAUAAUAAGUCUACAAACAGGAAAAGUAAUUUUAAUUUUCCUUAACAUUGUAUCCACUGAUAAGCACUGCGAUUGUUAUUAGUAACGUUCUACUCUUUUCGCAGAUUAAAGGAGGUUCUUAAAGAAAUGAUUUAAGAGGAACACACCCGGUGUGGUAUUUAAACGACGAAAGAUUCCCCCUUUUCGUAUAUAGGUGUUCACUUGUGCGGCAGCCACGUUGAAAAGUGUUUUCCGCAUUAUGAAGAUACGAGGUUAUAUUAUUACGGAGUUGCGAGCAGACGCCCAAGCGCGCAACACUUUCCCCCUUGCGAGAGCUAAUUAAGCGCGCCUUGAUGUAAUAACGACCUAAAUGCAGAGAGAUGGAGAGACUCUUAUUCCGAAAAUUAAGUGCACUAAGGUCGACCCAAUGAAAAUCACCGAUGGACUAUCCUUUACCCCUUCGUCUUUCUUCGCUUGGAACUUUGCUAAUGACUUCAGACGAUUAUUGUAAGUAUUUGAUCUUUCAAAUGAAAGGAUUAUAAGGAAUGUUCGUCCUAGUCAUUUUAAUUAAUCGUUUCAUUCGCAAAAUGACGUCUCGUUCUCGGUAAUUUCUAAUGGACAGAUAGGAGCGCUUGUAGGAACAAAGUCAAAUACCAAAGUUGCAAAUCGCUACGUCCGAGAUGGUCGAAGCGGACGGUCUUAAUUAUAACGUCUCAAGUAACGAGGGUUGGCAUGGGUCGCGACGUUAAUAUAUGGGUAAGAGAACCUAAACACAGCCGUGCCAUUGUAUGUACCGCGGUGUUGGAUCUGCCAAGGCAUUAAUAGUCUCACGUGACGUAAUUAACUCGCGACCACCGAAUUUCCGGCGUUAUAACGUGAUGUAUACUGUGGCAAAGAGGAAAAUCGAAAAUUCCUCUAGCGAUUAUGAAUCAAGUAGGAUUCGUACGGCCACCUGUCGCUCGAAAUACUGAUCGAUGUUAUCCAAGUUGAUCCUAACGAUAUAACCAUGGAAGACUUAAACCUUAUGGACUACACGUGAACGUUUUACAAAAGAUACGAAAAUACGAAACAUGCGGUAAAUGUAGACGCGUGGUGCUCUAAUUUAUCUUGUAAAUAGGAUCGAAAGAAGAACGCUUAAGGUAACAAAGAUUAUCGUAGAAAGC